rnacentral:rRNA from 1 species
CCUACGGUGGGCAGCAGUAGGGAAUUUUCGGCAAUGGGCGGAACCCUGACCGAGCAACGCCGCGUGAACGAAGAAGGUAUUCGGAAUGUAAAGUUCUUUUAAUCGGGGAGCAAGAGGAAUUUGACGGUACCUGAAGAAUGUGCUCCGGCUAACUACGUUCAAGAAGCCGCGGUAAUACGUAGGGAGCGAGCGUUAUCCGGAAUUAUUGGACGUAAAGGGUGCGUAGAUGGCAUAGAAAGUCUUUUGUAAAAAUGCUGGGCUAAACCCAGUAGGGCAAAAGAUACUGCAAAGCUAGAGUAUGACAGAGGCAAGUGGAACUGCAGGGGUAGCGGUAAAAUGCGUAAAUAUAGGUAAGAACACCAGUGGCGAAGGCGGCUUGCUGGGUCGAUACUGACAGUGAGGCACGAAAGCGUGGGGAGCAAACAGGAUUAGAUACCCCGGUAGUC